GACGAACGCUGGCGGCGUGCUUAACACAUGCAAGUCGAACGGUGAAGGGGCCUGCUUUUGUGGGCCCUGGAUGAGUGGCGAACGGGUGAGUAACACGUGAGUAACCUGCCCCCUUCUUCUGGAUAACCGCAUGAAAGUGUGGCUAAUACGGGAUAUUCUGGGUCUGUCGCAUGAUGGGUCUGGGAAAGAUUGCGCCUUUGGGUGUUUUUGGUGGGGGAUGGGCUCGCGGCCUAUCAGCUUGUUGGUGGGGUGAUGGCCUACCAAGGCGGUGACGGGUAGCCGGCCUGAGAGGGUGGACGGUCACACUGGGACUGAGACACGGCCCAGACGCCUACGGGAGGCAGCAGUGGGGAAUAUUGCACAAUGGGCGCAAGCCUGAUGCAGCGACGCCGCGUGAGGGAGGGAGGCCUUCGGGUUGUAAACCUCUUUCGCCAGUGAAGCAGGCCUGCUCCUUGUGGGUGGGUUGACGGUAGCUGGAUAAGAAGCGCCGGCUAACUACGUG
rnacentral:rRNA from 1 species